rnacentral:rRNA from 1 species
CUGGUUGAUCCUGCCAGUAGUCAUAUGCUUGUCUCAAAGACUAAGCCAUGCAUGUCUAAGUAUAAAUGAUAUACAGUGAAACUGCGAAUGGCUCAUUAAAACAGUUAUAGUUUAUUUGGUAAUCGAAUUUACAUGGAUAACCGUGGUAAUUCUAGAGCUAAUACAUGCUGUAAAGCCCGACUUCACGGAAGGGCCGUAUUUAUUAGAUAACAGACCAAUAUUCCUCGUGUCUAUUGUGGUGAAUCAUAGUAACUAAUCGGAUCGCAUGGGCUAGUCCCGCGACAAACCAUUCAAGUUUCUGCCCCAUCAGCUUUCGAUGGUAGUGUAUUGGACUACCAUGGCUUUUAUGGGUAACGGAGGAUUAGGGUUCGAUUCCGGAGAGGGAGCCUGAGAAACGGCUACCACAUCUAAGGAAGGCAGCAGGCGCGUAAAUUACCCAAUCCUAAUUCAGGGAGGUAGUGACAAGAAAUAACGGGUCGGGGCUAUGCCCCGGGACUGCAAUGAGAUGAAUUUACACCCCUUCUCGAGUAACAAUUGGAGGGCAAGUCUGGU